UCUUAGAUGACUGAGGGAAUAAGUGUUAGAUUUUUAAUCUAAAAACGGCUAAUUAUAUGCCUCUAAGAG
rnacentral:tRNA from 1 species